UACGAAGGGGGCUAGCGUUGCUCGGAAUCACUGGGCGUAAAGCGUACGUAGGCGGAUGAUUAAGUCAGGGGUGAAAUCCCGAGGCUCAACCUCGGAACUGCCUUUGAUACUGGUCAUCUUGAGUCCGGGAGAGGUGAGUGGAACUCCUAGUGUAGAGGUGAAAUUCGUAGAUAUUAGGAAGAACACCAGUGGCGAAGGCGGCUCACUGGCCCGGAACUGACGCUGAGGUACGAAAGCGUGGGGAGCAAACAGG
rnacentral:rRNA from 1 species